CUUCACCGACCCCAGCAGCACCGGCCGGUCGCGGUCCUGGCCGUAGGUCGCCAGCACGGCACCGGCUUC
rnacentral:antisense_RNA from 1 species